AGGUCUCUGCGGUUCUGGUUUGCAGCCUGGCACCGCUCCGGCCCUGCUCCCUACUUCCCUCUGCCACACGACUCAGCUUUGGCACCGAACCAAAGCUGAUGGGAAACGCUAACCUCUCUGGAGCAUUGUCAUCUCAGGGGAGAAAGAACGAGACAAAGCAAAUGAUGUCCUGACUCCUAAAACUUUGCACAAAAGUGACCAACAUCACUUUUUUGGUGAAAGCAAGUCGUGUGAUCGUUGCUGAGGCCAACAGCAGGGGAAUACAUCCUUGUGCAGAGAGGAGCACUGCAAGGGAGAAACGGGAACGUUUGGCAUCUAUUCAGAAUGAAGAGGGAGGUGAACCAGGCUUGAUCCGGACAUCCACAUGUGUGGGAAGCAGUGGCUGUUUCUACUUGACUCUGGUCACCAUGCCCAGACACGAGGCAGAAGCGUCGGACAGCUGCGCUGAACGGAACCCGGCCUGGCUCAGUUGGCUCAUCGAGUGCCCUCGAGUGUGUCUCGUUACCCCCUCCAGGCACCCGUCUCACCAUCUGGAGAACGAACCGCGGAUCUCUCAGAGGUCGCCCCAGGUCUGACCUUCUAGGAUUCCAAGGUCAAAACCA